CAACCCUCGUGGAAUCCCUAAAUUGGGUCUUAUGGGCCGAGAUUUUGGGCUUCUUUGGAGACGUUCGGCCCAUAAAGUAAUCACGUGUCGGCCACGCAUAUCGGUUCUCUUCAACUCACGUGCUUGAGACGUUUCUGUUUUUGAUCUCGCUACGCCUCCGCGAAACGGUAACCGCCUCUUCUUGGUUCAUGAUUUGGUGUUUCGCCCGCCCUUUCGCGGUCGCUCUCCCGUGGCGAUCCUCCAUCGCCUCCGCAGAUCUGGACGCUGCAGCGGCGAGAAGGGGGCUUUCCGCCCUAGCAGAUCGCCCUGUUCCCGGCCGGCCUGGCCUGGACCCCAGCGGCGGAUCCGUGUGGUGUAGCUAAGGUUCCCCGGCGUUGGGAAGGCGCCUACGACAUCCACAUCUCCCAACUCCUCGGCGUCCAUUACAUGGCCGGUGGUGACCUCGUCUGCGAGGAGCUCGCCUCCUCCGGCCCCAUCAAUCUCGAGACAGCUUGCUGAAAAUGUUAAAUCGUAGAAAUUUGAGAUCUAUGUUAAUGGUCUUCUAGGAACAGCGUAUUACAAGCAGAAUGGUUGAUGGGCAGCUACAAUCAGGAAUUCUGCCGCCCGGGAAGUGUUACAAGCACCAAACAUCGAAUGCCACAAAUUGUUGCUCGGGAACUUGUAUGAACUUUGAACUCAGCCCACGUAUUGAAGAGGGAGAAUUGGCUGUCUUGAACUAUAUUUUGUAGGGUUCUGAGUAUUGAUAAACUAAUGCACAAUAAUUUAUUCUCAAUGUUUAAACUUAUUUUUUGUUAUUAUAUGCUUUGGGUGCUCUGUUUAAACUUGGUUUUACUAUUAUAUAAUUCCAUAGAAUCUGCUUUUGAA